CCCAGUGAACAAUUAAACGGCCGCGGUACCCUAACCGUGCAAAGGUAGCAUAAUCAUUUGUCUACUAAUUAUAGACCUGUAUGAAAGGCAAAAUGAGGGUCUGACUGUCUCUUAUAAUGAAUCAAUUAAACUGAUCUCCUAGUAAAAAAGCUAGAAUCUCUUCAUAAGACCAGAAGACCCUGUGAAGCUUAAACUAAACUAUUAAAUCAUAUAAUAGCCACUUUCGGUUGGGGCGACCUUGGAAAAAAAAAGAACUUCCAACAACCAUCACUACCAUACCACCCAGGCCUACAAGCCAACAAACGACCCAGCACAGCUGAUCAAUGAACCAAGUUACUCCAGGGAUAACAGCGCUAUCCUCUUCAAGAGCCCAUAUCAAAAAGAGGGUUUACGACCUCGAUGUUGGAUCAGGACAUCCUAA
rnacentral:rRNA from 1 species